rnacentral:rRNA from 1 species
CGCGCAGGCGGUCUCUUAAGUCUGAUGUGAAAGCCCACGGCUCAACCGUGGAGGGUCAUUGGAAACUGGGAGACUUGAGUGCAGGAGAGAAAAGUGGAAUUCCACGUGUAGCGGUGAAAUGCGUAGAGAUGUGGAGGAACACCAGUGGCGAAGGCGGCUUUUUGGCCUGUAACUGACGCUGAGGCGCGAAAGCGUGGGGAGCAAACA